rnacentral:rRNA from 1 species
AUCAACUUUCGAUGGUAGGAUAGAGGCCCACCAUGGUUUCAACGGGUAACGGGGAAUAAGGGCUCGAUUCCGGAGAGGGAGCCUGAGAAACGGCUACCACAUCCAAGGAAGGCAGCAGGCGCGCAAAUUACCCAAUCCCGACACGGGGAGGUAGUGACAAUAAAUAACAAUAUAGGGCCCUUUCGGGUCUUAUAAUUGGAAUGAGUACAAUUUAAAUCCCUUAACGAGGAACAAUUGGAGGGCAAGUCUGGUGCCAGCAGCCGCGGUAAUUCCAGCUCCAAUAGCGUAUAUUAAAGUUGUUGCAGUUAAAAAGCUCGUAGUUGAAUUUCGGGAUCGACGGGUCGGUCGCGCCUCUGGUGUGUACUGGCCCUGUCGGUUUCUCCCUUCUGACGAACCACGAUGCCAUUAAUUUGGUGUCGUGGGGAAUCAGGACUGUUACUUUGAAAAAAUUAGAGUGUUUAAAGCAGGCAUUCGCUUGAAUACAUUAGCAUGGAAUAAUGAAAUAGGACGUUUGAUCUUAUUUUGUUGGUUUCUAAGAUCGACGUAAUGAUUAAUAGGGAUAGUUGGGGGCAUUAGUAUUCAAUUGUCAGAGGUGAAAUUCUUGGAUUUAUUGAAGACUAACUACUGCGAAAGCAUUUGCCAAGGAUGUUUUCAUUAAUCAAGAACGAAAGUUAGGGGAUCGAAGACGAUCAGAUACCGUCGUAGUCUUAACCAUAAACUAUGCCGACUAGGGAUCGGAUGAUGUUAAUUUUUUAAUGACUCAUUCGGCGCCUUACGGGAAACCAAAGUGUUUGGGUUC